GAAGCUGGAUGGGAUUUUCUCAAGCACUUACCCUAAGAAGAAUCUGGUCAAGCUCCUGGAGGCAAAACUCAGAAAAAUACGACAGCUUCCCACGACUAGGUCCUUCUGGAAUUUUUAACUCUCAGACUUGCUCACACAGAGCCUCUAGCAAUUUGUUAAUUACAGUUCAGAUUUUUUUUUUCAACUCAGGCUAUGGUUCCUGCAGUGAUUUCCACUUGUAAGUUUCCUGUCAGUCCUUCUUCUAGCUCAUUGUAGAUGCUAUGAUGAAUUCACAGGAUGGUGAACAAGAUUCUAUAUGCAUCCUUUUCACUCUUCUGAUGACACAUCACUUGAAUAGCUUCAUGGGAAGUGUCCUUGUUUCGCUUUGGCAUCAGGGUAAUGCUGGACUUCUAAAAUAAAUUUGGUUUCUUUGUUGGAAGAACAGCUGUGUACCUAAUUCUAACACAAGACACACCAUGGUGAGUACUUCAAUGGAGAUAUAACAGUAACAGGGUAGAGGGUUGUGAUGGUCAGUAUAUAUGUCAGCUUGGCUUGGCUAUAGUCCCCAGUAUUCAAUCACACUGUAAUUCAGGUGUUUGUAUGAAGGUAUUUUGUAUAUGUGAUUAACAUUUAUGAGAAAUUAAUUUUAAGUAAAGGAGAUUAUUCUAGAUAGUCUGGGUGAGGCUGAUUUAACCAGUUGAAAGGCCUUAAGAGAAAAGCUGAGAUUUCCUAGAAGUAGAAAUUAUACCUGUGGACAGCAGCCUCAGCUCAUAAUGGAGAGUUGUGGCUUGACUUUCCUGAUGGCCUAUCCUAUAAAAUUUCUAACUUGCCAUAUGAGCCCCAACAAUCACCUAAGCCAAUUCCCUGCAGUAAAUCUCGAGAUAUAUCUCCUACUGGCUGAACCCUGACAGAUACAGGGGUUCAUUCUGAAUUCUCGGUGGUGGAGAUUUUGAGUUAAGCCAUGAAGGAUCAGUAGGAUUUAACAGAUAAAGUAAAGGUUACUGGAAAGUGGGAAGAUUAUGAAAGUUUAUAUAUUUCUGAGUCUAAUGUUAUCUUUCCACCCUUCAACUAUUCCUCAUGUCCUCACCUCCUCUUAUACACCCUGUCAUUUCUGCUUGCUGAUUAUAAUAAUGUUAAUAUUUACUAUUCAUUGAGCACUUUCAAUGUGAAGGACAGUAUUUCUUAAUUCCCACAAACAUAAUAAUUUUAUGAAUGACGAAAUUGGGUCUCAGAUAGAUUAAGUGCAGUUGCUAUCUUUGUUUCAUGUCUUUGUAGUUUUGCCAGCUCUAUUUUCACACACGUAGGCAUCCUAGUGGUAGUAAGAGAUGAUGUCUUUGAGCCUGAAGGAAGAGGCAGAAAACCUCAAGAAUGGUUACAGCACACUCCGGUGAAAAUGAAUGUUCAGUAUACUGCCUCUGAGUAGUAAAGAAAAUGUUAAGAUCAGCAUUUUAUGUUAAAGAAAGAAAUUAAGAAAUAUCACAUUUAAAAAGUUUUUAUAUCAAAAGUAAACUUCGAUUAUUUAAAAAUUUACAAAAUGAUAAUCUUUGUAAUCUGAUAAUAUCAGAUGAAUUAGACAUUAAAAUGAAAAAUGUUGCAAGAGACAAAGAAAGACAGUAUAUAUCAAUAUAAAAUUCAACACAGCAAGAAUCACAUUUAUUGAUUUCUGUUUAUGCAAAUCAAUAAAUGUGAUUCAUCAUAUAAACAAAACUAAAAAUAAAAACUACAUGAUCAUCCCAAUAAAUGCAGAAAAGUCUUUUGAUAAAAUUCAACAUCCUUUCAUGUUAAAAAUUCUCAACAAACCAGGAAUUCAAGGUAAAUACCUUAAAAUAAUAAGAGCCAUGUAUGACAAACCCAUAGCCAACAUCAUACUGAACAGUCAAAAGCUGGAAGCAUUCCCCUUGAAAGCCAGAACAAGGCAAGAAUAACCACUUUCACCACUCCAAUUCAACAUAGUCCUAGAAGGCCUAGCCAGAGCAACCAGGAAAAAGAGGGAAGUAAAAGGCAUCUAAAUAGGAAGAGAGGAAGUCAAACUAUUUGUUUUCACAGACAAUGUAAUUCGAUACGUAGAAAACCCCAUAAUCUUUGCUCAAAGCCUCCUGGAUCUGAUAAAACUUCAGCGAAGUUUCAAGAUACAAAAUCAAUGUAUACAAAUCAGUACCAUUUCUAUAUAUCAAUAAUAUCCAAGCCAAAUCAAGAAUUUUGAGAGCCAAAUCAAGAAUGCAAUCCCAUUCACAAUAGCCACAAAAAGAAUAAAAUACCUAGGAAUACAACUAACCAGGAAGGUGAAAGAUCUCAACAAUGAGAAUUACAAGAGACUGCUGAAAGAAAUCAGAGAUAACACAAACCAAUGGAAAAAUAUUUCGCAUUCAUGGACAUGAAGAAUCAAUAUUGUUAAAAUGGCCAUACCGCCCAAAGCAAUUUACAGACUCGAUGGUAUUCCUAUCAAAGUACCAAUGAUAUUUUUCACAGAAUAAAAAAAAAAUUCUAAAAUUCAUUUGAAACCAAACAGGAGUUUAAAUUGCCAAAGCAAUCCUGAGCAAAAAGAACAAAGCUACAGGCAUCACACUCCCCGACUUCAAACUGUACCUCCAGGCUACAGUAACUAAAACAGCAUGCUACUUUUACAAAAACAGACACACAGACCAAUGGAACAGAAUAGAGAACCCAGAAAUAAAGGUGUACACCGAUGACUAUCUAAUCUUUGACAAAGCCAAUAAUAACAAGCAAUGGGAAAAGAACUCUCUAUCAAAUAAAUGGUGCUGAAAUAACUGGCUAGCCAUAUGCAGAAGAUUGAAACUGGAUCACUACCUUUCACCAUAUACCAAAAUCAACUCAAGAUGGAUUGAAGACUUAAAUGUAAAAUCUAAAACUAUAAAAACCCUAGAGAAAAACCUAGGAAUUACCAUUCUGGACAUGGGUCCUGGCAAAAACUUCAUAAUGAAGACUCUAAAACCAAUUGCAAUAAAAGCAAAAAUCGACAAGUGGUGCCUAAUUAGACUGAAGAGCUUCUGCACAGCAAAAGAAACUAUCAGCAGAGUAAACAAACAACCUACAGAAUUGGAGAGAAUAUUUGCAAACUAUGCAUCCAACAAAGACAUAAUACCCAGAAUCCAUAAGGAAUGUAAAUUAACAAGCAAAAAGCAAAUAACUCCAUGAAAAAUAUGCAAAGGACAUGAACAGAUACUUUUCAAAAGAAGACACAUAUGUGACAAGCGUAUGAAAAAAUGCUCAACAUCAUUAAUCAUUAGGAAAAUGCAAAACAAAACCACAAUGAGAUACCAUCUCACAGUAGUCAGAAUGGCUAUUAUUAAAAGCAAAAAGAUAACAGGUGCUGUGAGGUUGCAGAGAAAAGGGAAUUCUUAUAUGCUGCUGGUGGGAAUGUAAAUUAGUCCAGUUACUCUAGGAAGCAGUCUGAAGAUUUCCCAGUCUGGAGAUGUCUGGUUGCUGGAUAGGACAAAGAGACAGAAGAUACGUAAGAAAAUAGAUGACUUUAACAAUAUAAAAAACCAACUAAAUCUGAUAGACAUGUACAGAACACUCUACCCAACAACAGAACACACAUUCUUCUCAAAUGCAUAAGGGGCACUUUUCAAGAUAAACAAAUGUUUAACUUCCUAAAGAAGUUAAAAUAGAACUACCAUUUGACCCAGCAAUUCCAUCACUGGGUGUAUACCC